UUCCAACAUUAAUCGUCUGAGCAUAGAAGGGCUACAAAAUCAGAGGCAGAGCUUCCUCUCUCUCUCUCUCUGUAGCUCUGUAGUAGCAUCGAUACUUCAAGUUCAAACAACGACAGCGACAAAUCGCAGACCCCACAAAUCUCUGCAUAAACCACCCCCCCUUCUCGGUCGCUCUCCCUCACUCCACCUCUUUCUCUUUCAGCAAUGCCAGCUUCCUCCUCAGAGACUCGCACCAAGUGGAGGAAGAAGAAGCGAAAGAGAGACCCCCAAAUCACUCGACGACCCAAUCCCCAA